AACGAACGCUGGCGGCAUGCCUAACACAUGCAAGUCGAACGAGACCUUCGAGUCUAGUGGCGCACGGGUCCGUAACCCGUGGGAACCUGCCUUUAGGUUCGGCAUAACUCAGAGAAUAUUGACCUAAUACCGGAUGUAGUCUUCGAACCAAAGAGUUAUCGCCUUUAGAUGGGCUCGCGUUGGAUUACCUAGUUGGUGGGGUAAAGGCCUACCAAGGCGACGUUCCAUAGCUGGUCUGAGAGGAUGCUCAGCCACACUGGGACUGAGACACGGCCCAGACUCCUACGGGAGGCAGCAGUGGGGAAUAUUGGACAGUGGGCGAAAGCCUGAUCCAGCAAUGCCGCGUGAGUGAUGAAGGCCUUCGGGUUGUAAAGCUCUUUUACACGAGAUGAUAAUGACAUUAUCGGGAGAAUAAGCUCCGGCUAACUCCGUG
rnacentral:rRNA from 1 species